AAAUAUGAAUACGUUAUACCGUAGACAGUAGGUGCGCUUGUCGCUUAAUUUCCUACCGAGGUGUGUUGAUAUACGUGAUAGUUGUUCGCCGAUAGCUAUCAUCAACUCAUGUGCCUUCUUGUCUACCUUGAAGGCACAUUUUUUAUGACUUA
rfam:Pontibacillus chungwhensis BH030062 contig21, whole genome shotgun sequence.